AGCAUUCUGAAUUCAUGCGGAGAUUUCGUCAAACACCAACCCAUUGGCACUGAUCAGACUUCCAAGAUAAGUGAAGUU
rnacentral:pre_miRNA from 1 species